rnacentral:tRNA from 1 species
GCAUUGAUUGUUAAGUGGUAAAAUUUUUGCUUUCUAUGGGAAAGAUGUGGGUUUAAUUCCCAGACAAUGCA